UUAUCCUACAAACCAAAAGACACCCCUUUUUAAACAUCCACCCUUUCACUUCUCUUCUCACCUUACACUUCAAAAAAAAAAAGAGGAGAAUGAGAUUGUGAGAGAGAGGGCCGAGAGAGGGAGCUAGAGGUGAGCAAGAAUUUGGGGUUCGUAUUCAACCCUUUCAAGAAUUCACCUAUCAGAAGGUGGUUCGCACGCACGCUAAAAGUCGGAACGAGGAAUUUUACGGAAAUCCUAAGCUUUUGAGGUUGAGCGAGGACAGGAGGCGGAGAAUGUUGAGCAAAGACAGGAUUCAGUAAACGUUCCGGUUACUAUUGUGUCUUCAUAAAUAGUAGUAGCUAACUCUCAAAUGCUUCCGCUACGUCAAUGUUUUAAGAAUUUCUAUUACUUCAUUUGAAUUGUCAAACUAUGUCAUUCACGUUAUGUACC